rnacentral:rRNA from 1 species
CCUACGGGUGGCAGCAGUGGGGAAUAUUGCGCAAUGGGCGAAAGCCUGACGCAGCGACGCCGCGUGAGGGAUGAAGGUCUUCGGAUCGUAAACCUCUGUCAGCAGGGAAGAACGGUCACUGUGCUAAUCAGCAGUGAAUUGACGGUACCUGCAAAGGAAGCACCGGCUAACUCCGUGCCAGCAGCCGCGGUAAUACGGAGGGUGCGAGCGUUAAGCGGAAUUACUGGGCGUAAGGCGCUCGUAGGCGGUAUGUCAAGUCAAGGGUGAAAUCCCCGCGCUCAACGUGGGAACUGCCUUUGAAACUGGCAGACUGGAGUGUGUGAGAGGAUAGUGGAAUUCGAGGUGUAGGAGUGAAAUCCGUAGAUAUCUGGAGGAACAUCAGUGGCGAAGGCGACUAUCUGGCACAUAACUGACGCUGAGGAGCGAAAGCGUGGGUAGCAAACAGGAUUAGAUACCCUUGUAGUC